ACACGGAAAGGGAAUACUUUCUGAUUGUGUCACAGGCAGAAACAAGGCGGAGGCACAAGACGCUACCCAGAAGCCGCGUCUUGGUGCGCAUUCCCGUUCAUCCGCGAGGGCGACCCACUGCCCCUUCUGAGGACCGUGAAUAAAAAAUAUGCAUCUUUGAACUGAGGAAAUAUAUGGUGGUUUCAAUCACACAUGCCUCUUGUGGUUGAUGGGGCUGCCAAGAGCUCUGUAUUCUGAGACUGGAGCGAGUUUCAGCGAGAAGGAUCCGCGCUGCAUCUGUGGUGGCCCAGGGCUGGCCAUCUUAGUAAGACUGUGAGCUCCAUGAGAGCAGGGGUCUUGUGUGCUAUUCACCACUG